CAGAAGAUGUGCUCUGAGGGGCUUUGGGAGGUGAAGUAUCUCCUAGUCCCUUGUGCACAGUUUUGUCUCCUUGGUGAGCCAGGCUGGGUGUUUGCCUGCUUGCUGAGCUGAUGGAUCUGUGUGUGCAUGGGCAUGGCUGAAACUGGCUCAGGGCUCUCCUUGCUGUCCUGGAUUCACUUGACUCCAGUUUGCACAAGCUUUGGAUGUUUCAGCUGACUUGCUCUUAAUUCUUUCCUAAUCUUCAGACAGUUAAAAAAGAUUUCCCAUGUGGCUGGGGUAAAUGCUGGGCUGUAGCAGCAAUAGUUUAUAAUCCUUUCAAGAACAUUGCCACUGCUCUUUAAAGCAUCUGUAGGUUAUGUCAAGAGUAUUUUCUUGGAAUCAGAGACACCCCCUGUGCAAUGCUUAAGCAGAUUACACACUCUGUGCAACCAUGCUGCUGUUGCAGCUUUUCUGUUUUUAGUUAAGAAGGUCCCUGAGGAUCUAAACAUGGGUUUUCCUCAUUUACCAGCUGCAGGAAAGAACUUGAAGUGGUUAUUCCUUGGCUUGUGUAUGAUCAAAGAGUCUUUUGCAGAGGUGUGAUCCCACAUCAUGAAUUCAGGGUUUCAUCAAAGAUGCUGCUCUACUGGCCCACAUACAGGAGCUUUAGAAGUCACCUGCAGUGACCUAGAAGAAGAUAUGCUUUAAAAUAUAGAAGUUUGAGUCCACGACUGUCUGGGAGCCAAAUGAUCAGGUGUUCUAAAGCAGCCUGGAAAAGAACAGGAGGAUUGCUCAUGUUGCUGAAGGUCUCCAGGACAGGGCACACGGUCUGUCUCUGUGCUAGUGUAGGGAUGUGCCCUGAGCACUGCAGCACUCUGCUGCUUCCAGCCUGA
rnacentral:lncRNA from 1 species